rnacentral:rRNA from 1 species
UACGAAGGGGGCUAGCGUUGUUCGGAAUUACUGGGCGUAAAGCGCACGUAGGCGGAUUGUUAAGUCAGAGGUGAAAUCCCGGAGCUCAACUUCGGAACUGCCUUUGAUACUGGCAAUCUAGAGUCCGGAAGAGGUUAGUGGAAUUCCCAGUGUAGAGGUGAAAUUCGUAGAGAUCGGGAGGAACACCAGUGGCGAAGGCGCCUAUCUGGCUGACAACUGACGCUGAGACUCGAAAGCAUGGGGAGCAAACAGG